rnacentral:rRNA from 1 species
UACAGAGGGGGCAAGCGUUAUUCGGAAUUACUGGGCGUAAAGGGCGCGUAGGCGGCCCGCUAAGUCGAACGUGAAAUCCCCAGGCUCAACCUGGGAACUGCGUCCGAUACUGGCAGGCUUGAAUCCGGGAGAGGGAUGUGGAAUUCCAGGUGUAGCGGUGAAAUGCGUAGAUAUCUGGAGGAACACCGAUUGCGAAGGCAGCUCGCUGGAACGUUACUGACGCUGAGACGCGAAAGCGUGGGGAGCAAACAGG